CCCCUAUGAGCAGGGGCCGUAGUUACAGGCUUCCGCAACAAAACCAAAGCAUCACUCGCCCACUUCCUACCACAAGGAACACCUACCCCACUAAUCCCAAUACUGGUAAUUAUCGAAACCAUCAGCCUCUUCAUCCAACCAGUAGCCCUUGCCGUACGAUUAACAGCCAACAUCACAGCAGGGCACUUAUUAAUUCACUUAAUCGGAGGAGCUACCCUUGCAUUAUUAAAUAUCAAUACCACAACAGCACUUAUUACAUUUACUAUUUUAGCUCUACUAACAAUCCUCGAAUUCGCAGUAGCUAUAGUUCAAGCCUACGUAUUCACCCUCCUUGUUAGCUUAUAUCUGCACGACAAUACAUA